CGGCAACAGCUCAAAUUUGAAAUCUGGCCCUAGGCCCGAGUUGUAAUUUGCAGAGGAUGCUUUUGGUGAGGUGCCUUCCGAGUUCCCUGGAACGGGACGCCAUAGAGGGUGAGAGCCCCGUACGGUUGGUCGCUAAGCCUCUGUGAAACUCCUUCGAC
rnacentral:rRNA from 1 species